GCGCACCAGUCGAGAAACUUUACAAUGUGCGAAAGCACGAUAAGGGAACUCUGAGUGCCUCCUAAGGAGGCUGUUCAGGUGUCUAAAAGCACCUGAAGGAAGGGCUGGGUAAGACCGGUGCCAGCCGCCGCGGUAACACCGGCAGCCCAAGUGGUAGCCACGUUUAUUGGGUCUAAAGCGUCCGUAGCCGGCUGGGUAAGUUCCUUGGGAAAUUUGGCUGCUUAACAGUCAAGCUUUCAGGGAAUACUGCUCGGCUUGGGACCGGGAGAGGUCAGAGGUACUCCAGGGGUAGGGGUGAAAUCCAUUAAUCCUUGGGGGACCACCGGUAGCGAAGGCGUCUGACCAGACCGGGUCCGACGGUGAGGGACGAAGGC
rnacentral:rRNA from 1 species